rnacentral:rRNA from 1 species
UACAGAGGGUGCGAGCGUUGUUCGGAAUCAUUGGGCGUAAAGCGCUUGUAGGCGGCCUGUCAAGUCACGUGUGAAAUCCCUUGGCUUAACCAAGGAAGUGCGCGCGAAACUGGCGGGCUUGAGUGCCGGAGAGGGUCGCGGAAUUCCCGGUGUAGAGGUGAAAUUCGUAGAUAUCGGGAGGAACACCUGUGGCGAAAGCGGCGCACUGGACCAUAACUGACGCUGAGGCGCGAAAGCUAGGGGAGCAAACAGG